rnacentral:tRNA from 1 species
AGAGAAAUGACUGAGUGGUUUAAAGUGUCUGACUUGAAAUCAGAUUUAAAUAAUACUUAACGUAGGUUCGAAUCCUACUUUCUCUU